AUUGAACGCUGGCGGCAGGCCUAACACAUGCAAGUCGAACGAGUGGCGGACGGGUGAGUAAUGUCUGGGAAACUGCCUGAUGGAGGGGGAUAACUACUGGAAACGGUAGCUAAUACCGCAUACCAUCGGAUGUGCCCAGAUGGGAUUAGCUAGUAGGUGGGGUAACGGCUCACCUAGGCGACGAUCCCUAGCUGGUCUGAGAGGAUGACCAGCCACACUGGAACUGAGACACGGUCCAGACGCCUACGGGAGGCAGCAGUGGGGAAUAUUGCACAAUGGGUGCAAGCUGUAUGCAGCCAGGCGUCGUGUGUGAAGAAGGCCUUCGGGUUGUAAAGCACUUUCAGCGGGGAGGCGUUACCCGCAGAAGAAGCACCGGCUAACUCCGUGCCAGCCGCCGCGGUAAUAC
rnacentral:rRNA from 1 species